GACGAACGCUGGCGGCGUGCUUAACACAUGCAAGUCGAACGAAGUGGCGAACGGGUGAGUAACGCGUAAUCAACCUGCCCUUCAGAGGGGGACACCAGUUGGAAACGACGACUAAUACGGAAUAAGGAGGGCGGGGUUGGCGGUGGAUUAGCUAGUUGGGGGGGUAACGGCCCCCCAAGGCGAUGAUCAGUAGCCGGUCUGAGAGGAUGAACGGCCACAUGGGGACUGGGACACGGCCCAGACUCCUACGGGAGGCAGCAGUGGGGAAUCUUCCGCAAUGGACGAAAGUCUGACGGAGCAACGCCGCGUGAGUGAUGACGGCCUUCGGGUUGUAAAGCUCUGUUAAUCGGGACGCGGUACCGGAAUAGAAAGCCACGGCUAACUACGUGCCAGCAGCCGCGGUAAUAC
rnacentral:rRNA from 1 species